ACAGAUGAUGUGCGUCAGCAUAAAGGAAUACGCCGAUUUAUUGGGACUUAUUCACCGUAGCCCCCAGAGUUAGACAAGUCCAUACAUACCCUUCUCAUCUCUGUGCGUGUCGUAACUCUGUCUGACGCACCCACCGCUAGCCAAGCUUAGCACAGAUCCUGGAAUUAACCGGCUCC